rnacentral:tRNA from 1 species
GGGGGAGUGGUGUAACCUGGCAUCAUUGCACCUUGGGGUGGUGCCGAUCCGAGUUCAAAUCUCGGCUCCCCCA